GUUUUCCGCGUCCGAAAUGUAUCCUUCGUGCGCUUGUGUAUAUACAGAUAUAUAGGGAAGGAGGAAGGAAAAAGUGGAGAAGGAAAGGCAGGGAGGUUAACCAGUUUAGCUUAACCAAUUUGCUAGCCUACACAUGGGAGCGGGAUGGGGGGGGAUGAAAGAUGGGGAAGGGAGAGAGAGAGCACAUAGCACAGCCCACACAUCGUCAGUUAGAGUCCAUCACUCUUGCGUGGUAUGUGAUAUCACUGUCACAGCUGCUUGUCCAAUCCCGUAUCUUUCAAAAACCGAAGUAGUCCCUUCGUCGCCUUCAGUUGAAAUGUGUGUAUAUAUAUAUGGGAUGUGAUUUACAUCAAGGGUUAAAAUUGUGCUAUCGGUCACAGGCAAUUUCUAAAAAUUUGGUGCAUCUAGAAAAAAAAAAAAAAAGACACGCUGUGUGAUAACCCACAUCUGAAAUCCGAACAGCGGAGUGCUUGGCUUCUGGUGCUGUCGACAUCACCUAACAGCACCCUUGGAACUAAACACAUGCAACCUGGUUGUGUGUGCGGGAGUUUGGGUCCUACCGAUAUGUAUUACAUCGUCAUUCAGGCAAGCAGCGCUCCACAAGAAUCAAGGCUUCGGAGUUGAAGAAAAUUCCUAGCUAAUGCGCCAGUGGCCCUAGUCACAGAUUGCUGUGCUUUACCGGCAAAAUAUAGUCUACGCUCCUCUUUAACGCCUACCCAGAAGCAUUAAGCAUGAAGGGUUUCUUAAUGCGCUAUUAAAUUUCUUCGUUUCCUUU